rnacentral:rRNA from 1 species
CACUCCUGCGGGAGGCAGCAGUGGGGAAUAUUGGACAAUGGGCGCAAGCCUGAUCCAGCCAUGCCGCGUGAGUGAUGAAGGCCCUAGGGUUGUAAAGCUCUUUCACCGGUGAAGAUAAUGACGGUAACCGGAGAAGAAGCCCCGGCUAACUUCGUGCCAGCAGCCGCGGUAAUACGAAGGGGGCUAGCGUUGUUCGGAUUUACUGGGCGUAAAGCGCACGUAGGCGGACUAUUAAGUCAGGGGUGAAAUCCCGGGGCUCAACCCCGGAACUGCCUUUGAUACUGGUAGUCUUGAGUUCGAGAGAGGUGAGUGGAAUUCCGAGGGUAGAGGUGAAAUUCGUAGAUAUUCGGGGGAACACCAGUGGCGGAGGCGGCUCACUGGCUCGAUACUGACGGUGAGGUGCGAAAGCGUGGGGAGCAAACAGGAUUAGAUACCCCAGUAGUCCCAUGG